UACAGAGGUCCCGAGCGUUGUUCGGAUUUAUUGGGCGUAAAGGGUGCGUAGGUGGCAAAGUAAGUUGGAUGUGAAAUCCUGGGGCUCAACCUCAGAAUUGCAUUCCAUACUGCUUAGCUAGAGAGCUGUAGAGGAGACUGGAAUUUACGGUGUAGCAGUGAAAUGCGUAGAUAUCGUAAGGAACGCCAGUGGCGAAAGCGAGUCUCUGGGCAGCAUCUGACACUGAGGCACGAAGGCCAGGGGAGCAAACGGG
rnacentral:rRNA from 1 species